UGUCGUUUUUUCCCUUAUAAAUGUGUUUUUUUUCCAUUGAAAAUGUGCGCUUUUUCCCGUGUAACUGUGCGCUUUUUCCCGUGUAAAUGUCUGCUCUUUUCCGUUUGUGCGCAACUACUUCUUUCCCGUGUAAGAACUCUUUCUCCAGUAUUUUGCAAGCUAAAAGCUAAAGCUAAUGCGCAAAGGACUAUGGGAGUGGGGUCAAAACGCAACUGAACACGGAACCUUUCCGGAUAUCAGCUCCAGGACUCAACAUCAUGGAGUAUACAGUGAAUUAUAGCGUGAUAAAGUUAUAAUUUUCACUAAAUUUUCAACUGCACACACUUACCAGUGAACUGUGUGUAAAUCAUCAACUGCCUGUGUAUCAGCUGAUUUCUACACCAGCUUUACAUCCUGAGCAGAAGAUUGUCGUGGAGAGGACGGACCCUUGAUGCUCUGCCUUUUUGCACCAACAAUACAUACAUGUAUUUUAUUAAUUUGUAAAUAAAGUCUUUAAUAUAA